CAUGUGGUUUAAUUCGAAGCAACGCGAAGAACCUUACCAGGUCUUGACAUCCCCUGACAACCCGAGAGACUCGGGCGUUCCCCUUCGGGGGACAGGGUGACAGGUGGUGCAUGGUUGUCGUCAGCUCGUGUCGUGAGAUGUUGGGUUAAGUCCCGCAACGAGCGCAACCCUCGACCUUAGUUGCCAGCAUUCAGUUGGGCACUCUAAGGUGACUGCCGGCUAAAAGUCGGAGGAAGGUGGGGAUGACGUCAAAUCAUCAUGCCCCUUAUGACCUGGGCUACACACGUGCUACAAUGGGCGGUACAAAGGGUCGCGAACCCGCGAGGGGGGAGCCAAUCCCAAAAAGCCGCUCUCAGUUCGGAUUGCAGGCUGCAACUCGCCUGCAUGAAGCCGGAAUCGCUAGUAAUCGCGGAUCAGCAUGCCGCGGUCGAAUACGUUCCCGGGCCUU
rnacentral:rRNA from 1 species